GAGUUGCUUCAGAGGACUUAUGACUUUGCUGCCUUCACAAAGAAGAGGAAAAAGACAAGUCAGGAGGAAGGAAAACAUUUACAACAUAAUGAGAAGUUGGUCAGAGAUCUACACCUCAUUGGCUAUUAAUUACAUGCCAAGGCGUAAAUUUACUAUUUCAGUCAUUUUUGUGAAGUCUCUGAAAAUAAGUGACUAGAACGACCAGUGGUCGCAGGGUAUGCCUGCCCCUGUAUGUUCUUGUAGGCCAAAGUGGAAUUUCACAGCCUCCUCGGAUCCCAUCCCCCAAACCACAGUAGAACUACUGACUGUUGUUCUAAUUGUAGUAUGGACUUUCCAUGAUUCCUCCACAGCCAUUGGAUUUAUUCCACUUAAAUAUGUAUAUGGAAAUACUUUCAUCUAAUGAAAAAAUGCUGCCACCUUUGGGCAAAGCAUGACAUCUGCUUACGAGUGCAGAGCAACACUAUAUAAUAGGACAGGAAGUGAGUACUCUACCUAAUCAAAACUCCAUGAUGAAGACAGAAUGUAGUUCUCCAAACUGGAAUUUUGCAAGGACACUACUUGUGCCAAAAUCUUGUGAAAGGUUCAAUGGGACUUCUAAUAACCUCAAGCAGUCAGGAAGACCUCUUUUUUACUUCCACUUUGCAGAAUCAAGGCCACCUGGAGAUUAAAUUAGAACCUGAUCCAGCAAAUACCUUAAACAUGUGCUUAACUUUAAGCACAAGUGUAGAAUCAUAGAAUAUCAGG